rnacentral:rRNA from 1 species
GAUGAACGCUGGCGGCGUGCUUAACACAUGCAAGUCGAACGGAAAGGCCAGUGCUUGCACUGGUACUCGAGUGGCGAACGGGUGAGUAACACUUGGGUGAUCUGCCCUGUACUUCGGGAUAAGCUUGGGAAACUUGGUCUAAUACCGGAUAGGACAACUUUUUGGAUAUUGUUGUGGAAAUCUUUUGCGGUAUGGGAUGAGCUCGCGGCCUAUCAGCUUGUUGGUGGGGUAAUGGCCUACCAAGGCGUCGACGGGUAGCCGGCCUGAGAGGGUGUACGGCGACAUGGGGACUGAGAGACGGGCCAGACUCCUACGGGAGGCAGCAGGGGGGAAUAUUGCACAAUGGGCGCAAGCCUGAUGCAGCGACGCCGCGUGGGGGAUGAAGGCAUUCGGGUUGUAAACUCCUUUCGCUAGGGACGAAGCUUUUUUGUGACGGUACCUGGAGAAGAAGCACCGGCUAACUACGUG